rnacentral:tRNA from 1 species
AGUACUACGCCGGAUGAACGGAAAUCAUUGAUGUUGAUUAAUAUGGGAUCAUAGAUUGUCUCUGGUACUA